UUUUCUCUUAGCAUCACGGAUCUUUUCAAAAUGAUCCCAUACUAUAGAUCUAGACUCCACCUCUUUCCUCUUCUUUGUAGGAACAACAGGAGGAGAAGGCAUAGGAUUUGUCUGAGGAUUUCUCUCAGUACCUUGAGCUUCUACUCCA